rnacentral:misc_RNA from 1 species
GAUGAAGAACGUAGCGAAAUGCGAUACUUGGUGUGAAUUGCAGAAUCCCGUGAACCAUCGAGUCUUUGAACGCAAGUUGCGCCCGAAGCCAUUAGGCCGAGGGCACGCCUGCCUGGGUGUCACACACCGUUACCCUCGCGCCAACGUCCAUCGUUGGCCGCGGCGCGGGGCGUGCGCUGACCUCCCGCGAGCGGGGUCUCGUGGUUGGUUGAAAAUCGAGUUCGCGGUCGAGGGUGCCGUGAUGAAAUGGUGGAUGGGCGACGCCCGAGGCCAAUCACGCGCGACUCUGUCCGGCUCGGACGCCUGGACCCCUUCGGCGUCUCCGGACGCUCUUUGGCGAGACCUCAGGUCAGGCGGGGCUACCCGCUGAGUUUAAGCAUAUCAAUAAGCGGAGGA